rnacentral:lncRNA from 1 species
AUGAAUCUAAAUUAUUAUUAUUUUUUUGCCCCACAAAGUCAAGAGCCAGGUAGGAGAGAAAAGGGGAAAAAGCAGAGCAAACAGGAGAAAAGUACCAGUAAAACCAAUUCAGCAAAAUUUAGUUACAUGCCACUUUACAGAAGGGAGAUCACUGCAUUCCCUGCUCAUCCCUGUGUCAUCAGCAGUAGCUUUGGAUUCGUUUUUGAGGAAGAAAGCCCGUUUCUACAUUGCUGCUGCUAUACACUCAGGAGUUCCUGGAAUAGUCCCACAGAACUCUGCACAAAAGUGACAAGCAAGUUGUAG